UGGGGAAUAUUGCACAAUGGGCGCAAGCCUGAUGCAGCCAUGCCGCGUGUAUGAAGAAGGCCUUCGGGUUGUAAAGUACUUUCAGCGGGGAGGAAGGUGUUGUGGUUAAUAACCUCAGCAAUUGACGUUACCCGCAGAAGAAGCACCGGCUAACUCCGUGCCAGCAGCCGCGGUAAUACGGAGGGUGCAAGCGUUAAUCAGAAUUACUGGGCGUAAAGCGCACGCAGGCGGUCUGUCAAGUCGGAUGUGAAAUCCCCGGGCUCAACCUGGGAACUGCAUCCGAAACUGGCAGGCUUGAGUCUUGUAGAGGGGGGUAGAAUUCCAGGUGUAGCGGUGAAAUGCGUAGAGAUCUGGAGGAAUACCGGUGGCGAAGGCGGCCCCCUGGACAAAGACUGACGCUCAGGUGCGAAAGCGUGGGGAGCAAACA
rnacentral:rRNA from 1 species